ensembl:snRNA U5 U5 spliceosomal RNA
AUACUCUGGUUUCUCUUCAGAUUGUAUAAAUCUCUUGCCUUUUACUAAAGAUUUCCAUGGAGACGAACAAUUCCGGGCCUUACACCAAUUUUUUGAGGUCUUUUGAGAGCAGGGCU